AUCUUAACUCUUAAUAUUAAUUGUAAUCAAUUGUCUUGAAUAAUUACUAAUAAUUCUAGGGUAAGAUUAUUGUAUACACACAUUCUCACUAACAAGUUUAUAAUAUAAGAGAUAAGAGAUAGCCGAUCGAUUACAAAAUAGUUUGAAAGCAAAUGGCAUAAACCUACAUAUUAGUCUUGUCUAUGCCUUCCAUCUCAAGGAAUUAGGAUAAAUCAUAUAUAUUGAAGGUAUGAUUCGUUGUUAUCGAUGGGAGAUUACCUAUUGGGAUUAAGUACAAAAACAUAUAAAUUAAAAUCAAGUAUCCAUUAUUUUUAUCAAAAUAAAAAUGAAUAUAUCGAUUAACUUGUAAUAUAUGGAUUACUAUUGUUAAGAAACUCUCUGCAAUUGAUGGAGUAUUCUUGUUGUGCGUUUGUGUAUUCUUUUGGAUAUGACAAUUAUAUAAUCUUUGGAGCUUUAUAAUUAUUGUUAUAUAUU
rnacentral:lncRNA from 1 species